AUGCGUAUUCCUUGAGACUGCGUUGCUUACAACAGGUCAUGUUCUCAUAAGCAAAGCCGCAACCGUAUCGCGAGAAUUUUCUUGUUUUAAGCCGAAUGAACGCUCCACGGCACUUACAAUAAACAUAAACAUCAGCAUACCUAGCUUCGUUAGAUUACUGAUUACAAGAGAAUAAACAGGAGUUACAGUAAAGGAAACAGAUCAAAGCAAAAAGCUAUAAGAACUGGUGAUUUAUGUGAUGAAAAUGCAAGAACCACCUACAAUGUUUGAUUGAACCCUGAGUAAAAAGGAUAGGAUAUUGAGGGUUUAUUUCAAUUAAAGCCAUGAAUGUUUUAUGUAUAAAUAUGAUAACAUGAUUAAAUUGCAGGACAAGAGGAAGGCAGUGUGCCAAGGACAUGAUGCAAAGUGCACAAUAAUACAAGCUACUGUUGUUGCCAUCUUACCUUGUGAAGGGUUGGCCUGCAACUGCCUGCGCAGAUGCGGGGGGAUGUAGCGGCCAGCACUCUUAUUAGCCUGAGGCUGCAAGUCCAGACCAGCAAGCUGCAAGAUCAAAUUACAUUACAACACACUGAAAUGGCAAUUGUGAAAGCGCUAAACAAUUUUGUAGCUCCUAUCGCAACCUUUAAUAAUUUUGUAAUCGAUUAUUUUUUAGUCUCGCUGAAUGUUGAAAUUCAAGUUCAUAGUAUAAUUAGAAUAACUUGGUAGUCUAGUAUUGGCAAAUUGAAAAUUCAUGAUAGGUAAAUUGUUAACUAGGCGCAAAGGAGAUGGCCAAAUUUUCAUAGAAAAAAAACCCAGAUUCGACAGCAAUGAAAUGGUUACCAAUGGGUUCCUUAUGAUAGACCUUUGAUGGUGCCAAAAAAUCCAGCCUGAAAUCCAUGGGGUAUAGGAGCUAUUUCAUAAUAUAGUUAAAAUAGGUUAUGUUGAAUUAAUGUUUAUUUUAAAGAUUAUUAACAUCAAGGAACAUAAAAAAGCAAAGUAAACUAAUAUUUUACAAGCCAAUAGUAAUAACCCCAUGGUUUCCGAGUUGGCCUAGUGAUUAAAAGGUCUUGUAUGUAACCACUCCAGAUACGAUUAAGCACCGACCUUACCUACUUGGAGAGGUUUCGCAGUUAUAUGCAACCUUCACAACUGGCUAUGAAACGUUUUUUUCAGAAAUUGUCUUUGAAAAUCGCGCCAUGUGACAUUGUCAAAUAUAACAAAUGACUUAGCAAUGCAAAACGGUCCAAUCACGAGCCUGCAUUCAACUUCUAAUGAACAUCAAACAGUAAAAGUAAACUUUUUUGUGAACUAAAAUCUUGAUCGAAAAAACGUUGUAAAAAGAGAACCCCAUGGUUUUUAGAUGAUUUGAAAUACUUUUUAAAAUCCACAAAUUAUACUGAAUCCAAUCAUACAUAUGAAGUUCCUGUCGACUCUGGGUGUUUUUUUGGCCAUCUCCUU